CCUACGGGAGGCAGCAGUGGGGAAUAUUGGACAAUGGGGGAAACCCUGAUCCAGCCAUGCCGCGUGUGUGAAGAAGGCUCUAGGGUUGUAAAGCACUUUAAGUUGUGAGGAAAGCAUUAUUGCGAAUAGUGAUGAUGUGUGACGUUAGCAACAGAAUAAGCACCGGCAAACUCCGUGCCAGCAGCCGCGGUAAUACGGAGGGUGCGAGCGUUAAUCGGAUUUACUGGGCGUAAAGCGAGCGUAGGCGGCGUUGUAAGUUGGAUGUGAAAGCCCGGGGCUUAACCCCGGAACUGCAUCCAAAACUGCAAUGCUAGAGUAUAGUAGAGGGAGGUAGAAUUUCCGGUGUAGCGGUGAAAUGCGUAGAGAUCGGAAGGAAUACCAGCGGCGAAGGCGGCCUCCUGGACUAAUACUGACGCUGAGGUUCGAAAGCGUGGGGAGCAAACAGGAUUAGAUACCCUGGUAGUCCACGCCGUAAACGAUGAGUGCUAGCUGUUGGUGCUAUAGGGCAUUAGUAGCGCAGUUAACGCGAUAAGCACUCCGCCUGGGGAGUACGGCCGCAAGGUUAAAACUCAAAUGAA
rnacentral:rRNA from 1 species